rnacentral:rRNA from 1 species
GACGAACGCUGGCGGCGUGCUUAACACAUGCAAGUCGAACGGAAAGGCCCUGCUUUUGUGGGGUGCUUGAGUGGCGAACGGGUGAGUAACACGUGAGUAACCUGCCCUUGACUUUGGGAUAUCUUCAGGAAACUGGGGCUAAUACCGGAUAGGAGCUCCUGCUGCAUGGUGGGGGUUGGAAAGUUUCGGCGGUUGGGGAUGGACUCGCGGCUUAUCAGCUGGUUGGUGGGGUAGUGGCUUACCAAGGCUUUGACGGGUAGCCGGCCUGAGAGGGUGACCGGCCACAAUAGGACUGAGAUACGGCCCAGACUCCUACGGGAGGCAGCAGGGGGGAAUAUUGCACAAUGGGCGGAAGCCUGAUGCAGCAACGCCGCGUGCGGGAUGACGGCCUUCGGGUUGUAAACCGCUUUCGCCUGUGACGAAGCGUGAGUGACGGUAAUUGGUAAAGAAGCACCGGCUAACUACGUG